rnacentral:misc_RNA from 1 species
UACGGAGGGGACUAGCGUUGUUCGGAAUUACUGGGCGUAAAGCGCGCGUAGGCGGACUAUUAAGUCAGGGGUGAAAUCCCGGGGCUCAACCCCGGAACUGCCCUUGAUACUGGCGAUCUAGAGUCCGGAAGAGGUGAGUGGAACUCCUAGUGUAGAGGUGGAAUUCGUAGAUAUUAGGAAGAACACCAGUGGCGAAGGCGGCUCACUGGCCAGAUACUGACGCUGAGGUGCGAAAGUGUGGGGAGCAAACAGG